ACAGUUGGAGCUAAGCCAACAGCUGAACUGGGCUGCCCUGGACCUUUUGACUUCUGACAGAGUAGGGGAGAAGAAGCUGAGGCUUUGGCUGGUGUGGCUGAUGGUGGUGAAGAAGCUAAUUGUGUCCCUGGACUUGAAUUAAUCAAGUUGGAGGUUACCUCACUGAUUAGUGGAAGAAGAAAGAAGACAGACAGUUGUCCUCAUAUCUUGCUUACUGACUUUGUGUCAACAUCCUCCAAACCAAGGCUCCUUGUAGAGAAUAGGGAAAAUCCCAUCCCUCUUACCUUAUCCUCUACCCUUGUCUUGUCUACCCCAAAUAAACCCUUAUUUGAGAAAUCAAGAGAAAGGAGUAUUUUCUCUAAAGCCAUCGUAGUCCACCCUGAAUGACUUAGAAGAAGGUUGAAGGGAAAGGGGAGGGGAAGCUGAAAGGCUUCUGAAGUGAGAGGAAAAGGGAGGAGGGUAGGCAAACCUUGAUCCAUUAGUCAUCUAGAGAAUCAAUAGACACCCUCAGAAAUUACCAUCUAUUACACUCCCCACUCCUGUCACUAUUUUAAUUUUAACCAGGGUCUUCUGAACAACCAAUGCCUUAAUUCAAAAGAGUAUCUGUAAUGAGGAUAAUAUCAAGCCCAGGGUCUGGUCAGUAGGAAAGAUAUUUCAAGGCAGAAAUCACAAGAUCUGGAACUAGAGGGUACCCCAGAGCCUACUGAGUCCAAUUCUCUUAUUUUACAGAUGAGAAAACCGUGGCACAGAGAGGGAUGAAGUGACUUGCUUGGAGUCUAGCUGAGGAAAGAAGAGACACUCAGAGAAGAUGUGUAACUGACCCACAUAGCUAAGAGGCAUCUGGCACAGGAUUUGAAUCCAGACCACUUCCCAAUGCUGCCUCUCAGUUUCUGAGUGAGGAACCAAAGGCCAAGAGAAAAAAGAUGACUUUCCCAAGGUCAUGAAGCAAGGAGUAUCAGCUUCCUGUCUCUCAAGUGUUCCUAACUCACACUGCCCCCUCCCAGUUCUCUUUAUUUCCUUUAUUGUUGCUUUUUUGAGCAUUGGCAUAAUGAAUCUUCUUAUCUGCUAGGUUGCCUGAAUCCUUAAAGGAAAAAAAAAUAUGACUGAUAAGGAAAGGAAACAUAUUAGCAAGUACUGGUAUUUAAAAAGUACUUUGUAAUGUUCCCAGGGAGGACAUGGAGGAGCCCAGAGCCUCAGUGUGGUGCCACCAUAAUUUAUCUGAGCACAGUUGUGAUUUGUAUUGGGGCUAUGGAAUUGCUCAUGCAUAAUGAUUGACUGGCUCCCUCCAGAACCCCCCUGGCACUGCUGGGAAAUGACACACGGGCAUGGAAGGCGUGUGGUUGGAAAGAAUGAAUAUCUUAACUCUGAAAACAAAACUAGGAAAGCAAAUGCUGUGUGCCUUUGAGCAAAUCACUUGCCUCCUCUGGCCCUAGUUUCUUUACCUAUAAAAUAAAGGAAAUGAAUUAAUGAUUUUUUUAGCUUA